GAUGAACGCUGGCGGCGUGCCUAAUACAUGCAAGUCGAGCGAAUGGAUUAAGAGCUUGCUCUUAUGAAGUUAGCGGCGGACGGGUGAGUAACACGUGGGCAACCUGCCCAUAAGACUGGGAUAACUCCGGGAAACCGGGGCUAAUACCGGAUAAUAUUUUGAACUGCAUGGUUCAAAAUUGAAAGGCGGCUUCGGCUGUCACUUAUGGAUGGACCCGCGUCGCAUUAGCUAGUUGGUGAGGUAACGGCUCACCAAGACAACGAUGCGUAGCCGACCUGAGAGGGUGAUCGGCCACACUGGGACUGAGACACGGCCCAGACUCCUACGGGAGGCAGCAGUAGGGAAUCUUCCGCAAUGGGCGAAAGUCUGACGGAGCAACGCCGCGUGAGUGAUGAAGGCUUUCGGGUCGUAAAACUCUGUUGUUAGGGAAGAACAAGUGCUAGUUGAAUAAGCUGGCACCUUGACGGUACCUAACCAGAAAGCCACGGCUAACUACGUGCCAGCAGCCGCGGUAA
rnacentral:rRNA from 1 species